rnacentral:miRNA from 1 species
AAGUUUGUGUGCAUUUGCAGGAACUUGUGAGUCUCCUAUUGAAAAUGAACAGGAGAAAGAUGAGUUCCCGGGAACACCCACAAAUCU